GUGGGGAAUAUUGGACAAUGGGCGAAAGCCUGAUCCAGCAAUGCCGCGUGAGUGAAGAAGGCCUUCGGGUUGUAAAGCUCUUUUACCCGGGAAGAUAAUGACUGUACCGGGAGAAUAAGCCCCGGCUAACUCCGUGCCAGCAGCCGCGGUAAUACGGAGGGGGCUAGCGUUGUUCGGAAUUACUGGGCGUAAAGCGCACGUAGGCGGUCUUUUAAGGCAGAGGUGAAAGCCCGGGGCUGAACUCCGGAAUUGCCUUUGAAACUGGAAGACUUGAACACGGGAGAGGUGAGUGGAAUUCCGAGUGUAGAGGUGAAGUUCGUAAAUAUUCGGAGGAACACCAGUGGCGAAGGCGGCUCACUGGACCGUUGUUGACGCUGAGGUGCGAAAGCGUGGGGAGCAAACAGGAUUAGAUACCCUUGUAGUCC
rnacentral:rRNA from 1 species